GUCCACGCCCUAAACGAUGUCAACUGGUUGUUGGGGAAGCAAUUCCUUAGUGACGAAGCUAACGCGAGAAGUUGACCGCCUGGGGAGUACGGUCGCAAGAUUAAAACUCAAAGGAAUUGACGGGGACCCGCACAAGCGGUGGAUUAUGUGGAUUAAUUCGAUGCAACGCGAAAAACCUUACCUACCCUUGACAUGUCCGGAACUUGCCAGAGAUGGCUUGGUGCCCGAAAGGGAACCGGAACACAGGUGCUGCAUGGCUGUCGU
rnacentral:rRNA from 1 species